GACGAACGCUGGCGGCGUGCUUAACACAUGCAAGUCGAACGGAAAGGCCCUGCUUUUGUGGGGUGCUCGAGUGGCGAACGGGUGAGUAACACGUGAGUAACCUGCCCUUGACUUUGGGAUAACUUCAGGAAACUGGGGCUAAUACCGGAUAGGAGCUCCUGCUGCAUGGUGGGGGUUGGAAAGUUUCGGCGGUUGGGGAUGGACUCGCGGCUUAUCAGCUUGUUGGUGGGGUAGUGGCUUACCAAGGCUUUGACGGGUAGCCGGCCUGAGAGGGUGACCGGACACAUUGGGACUGAGAUACGGCACAGACUCCUACGGGAGGGAGGAGUGGGGAAGAUUGCACAAUGGGCGGAAGCCUGACGCAGCAACGCCGCGUGCGGGAUGACGGCCUUCGGGUUGUAAACCGCUUCCGCCUGUGACGAAGCGUGAGUGACGGUAAUGGGUAAAGAAGCACCGGCUAACUACGUG
rnacentral:rRNA from 1 species